UACGUAGGGGGCAAGCGUUGUCCGGAUUCAUUGGGCGUAAAGAGCGUGUAGGCGGCCAGGUAGGUCGGUUGUGAAAACUGGAGGCUCAACCUUCAGAGGUCGACCGAAACCAUCUGGCUAGAGUCCGGGAGAGGAGAGUGGAAUUCCUGGUGUAGCGGUGAAAUGCGCAGAUAUCAGGAAGAACACCCGUGGCGAAAGCGGCUCUCUGGAACGGUACUGACGCUGAGACGCGAAAGCGUGGGGAGCGAACAGGAUUAG
rnacentral:rRNA from 1 species